CUCACAAGUUAUGGUUUAGUGACUAUAGGACACUGUCCAGUUUAGAAUCUCUUAGUAAAUUCAUUUCAGCAUCCUUUUGAACAACUUAGGAUAUAACUCUGCCUUCCUUGCCUCCUCCUUUGAACCACUCCUGCCGUCAUAUUGGUUCCCUCGUUACUGAUUUUUGCCAUGGGUUGAUUCUAUAUUUGUGUGUGAGUCAUGCCUUCAGCUUUUGGAAGAUUCACCUUUAAUGGGAUCCUUAGUGCUUUUGUUCAUUUCUUCCCUACCGAGGAGGCGUGGCUUUCCCCAGGAGGCGUGGAUUUCCUCCUCGUUGGCUGUAACAGUCGCUUAUCUUGAUACCUGCAGGGAAAAGGAAAGAGAUCUCCACGUUAACAGAUUCUUAACUGGCUGGUGUGAAGAGUCAUUCCAAGGUAAGCUAAGCUCAGAUAUUUGCUAAAUUGAUUAUGGCUGUUGUUUUUCAUAGUCAAGAAAGUCAGUUUUUGGAAAAGGACAUCGCCACCACAAAAUCAUAUUUUCAAAGAAAAUGCUGGUGCUUUCUUCAUAGUUGGCAUGGUCAUCUGAUAUUUUGUUAUGGUUUAUCUGUUUGUUCAUUUUGGGUCUCCCCAUCAGAAUAUAAGCUCCCUGAGGUCAUGGUCUUGUUUAUUUAGUUCGAGGCUCUAUCUUCACUGACUCCAAGAAUGCUGACACAUG
rnacentral:lncRNA from 1 species